UGCCAGACAUAGGUUCAGAGGAUUGAAGAGGGAGAUCCAAAGAGCUAUCCUCUUAAGAGGAGUGAAUACCUAGUCACUGCAUUUCUCCAUUUGAACUGGCCACCUUUUAAGUGGUCAUUAGCCACAUGUGGCUACUAGCCAUUGGGCUUGGACAGCAGAGGUGUGGAAAGUCUGCACAUUCUUCCACUCAAAGGAUAUUAGAAGGCCACUAGAAACAGCAGGUGAUGUCCCCAGCUCCUGUCCAUCCAUGCAGAACAUCUGUCAACACCUGUGGACAUAUUUUCCCCCCCCAUUCCUAUGAAUGUUGCUCAGUUGUUACAUGGCAUGGACAAAUGCUGUUGGCUGGUGGCAUGGACACACUGGACAAGCUUGGCCUUCGGUAAAACAAAGACUGGAUUCAAUUACUCAAACUGAAACAGGAAUGCUUGGAUGAACAAGCCUCCCAGGAAGUCCCACUGGAGGUACUCAACCUGUGCCCCUUCCCUCUUUGGACCAAGAACCUGAACUUGAGAGAUGAAUGGCUUAUCCAAGGUUAUGGCAAGGUUACACAGAGCUGAAACUAGACACAGGUGUACAUGCUUAUUGAUCAAGGCUGGCUGUGAAAUCUAACUCCCUCAAAUCUUG